GGGGCUGUAGCUCAGUGGUAGAGUGCUUGCCUAGCAUGUAUGAGGCACUGGGUUCAAUCCUCAGCACCACA
rnacentral:tRNA from 1 species